rnacentral:tRNA from 1 species
GCCUUCGUGGCGUAAACGGCUAGCGCGUUCGGCUGUUAACCGAAAGGUUGGUAGUUCGAGCCCACCCGGGGACG